rnacentral:lncRNA from 1 species
UGUUCUCAUUCGAGCAUUUAUUUGUAGUUGUAUAGUCACGUGACAUGCUGUAUCUCGAGAUCAAUAAAGUUUCCAGGAUAAAGCUUUUGACUUCCUCUAUUUUUUUAGUGUUGAACGAAUACAGAGAAACGUAGAACUUUCAGAAUGAUAACUUAUACUUUAUGGUUUUGAUUUAAUUUAAUUUAAUUCUUCAAUAACAUAAAUUCUAAAAAUAAAAAACCCUCUCGGAAGUGACGACAUUCAAUCUUCAAAGAAAAGUAUUCAUGGCUUAAGUAGAGUCUUCACGAUACUAAGGUAACAUCGAACACCACGACUGUAAGGUUUCGAUUCUAAUAAGUUACCAACCAACACCUUAUGCAUCACAAAGAGUGCUGUUGAUUUCUACAUCAAAAAGGUUCUGUACUUAUCAUUUAGAAGGAAAGAGAGUUCUGUUUUGUUUCUCUCUCUCUUCUGUCAACCCUGGAACUUUAAUGAGCUACUUCGAUUGUUUUUAUGCCUUUAGGGAUUUGUCUCUGUUAUGUUGUUGAAAUUAGUGGUCCAUAGAAUGAAAGAGUUAAUAAUGUGGACACUAACAUGUUUGAUUAGAGAAAACAAAGCUAUAUCCCAUUAUUCUAAACCCUCUAUAUAAAAGUAUUAUUCAUAUGUUAAUUAAGCGUAAAUUUUCUUCGUAUCACAAAGGAGUAAUAUAAAUUAGGCUACGGGAGUAUAUCGAAGAGAACGAAAGAACUGACCCCUUAAUCCACGCUCCCGACAAGAAAAAUAAUCCUUGGGCAGAAAAAGGAAAAUGUCUCAUCAUGUAGCCUGAACUUCGUGUAAUCUAACUCCUUAACGAACUUCACUCCUCUUCAGCCAAAGACUAUUUCAUAUCCCGUGUCGUUUUAACCCUCGUAUAUUGAAAUCUUUUAUCAACUUUUGUUUGAACCUAUUUAGCUACGAAACUAAGGCUGGAAAAAAAGUUUCACCAUCGUUUUUGACCUCAAAACUAAACUUCAAAUUAUUCAUCAGUUGUUGUUGUUGUUUUUUGUAAUGUAUUGUCAACAAUGGAAAUAUAACAUCGAAAUGCCUUUCUCCAAAAACAAAA